GUGUCAGCAGCCGCGGUAAGACGAACCGUGCGAACGUUGUUCGGAUUCACUGGGCUUAAAGGGCGCGUAGGCGGGUUACCAAGUCAGGGGUGAAAUCUUUCGGCUCAACCGGAAAACGGCCCCUGAUACUGGUAGUCUUGAGGGAGGUAGGGGCAGGUGGAACUUCCGGUGGAGCGGUGAAAUGUGUUGAUAUCGGAAGGAACGCCGGUGGCGAAAGCGACCUGCUGGAUCUCUUCUGACGCUGAGGCGCGAAAGCUAGGGGAGCGAACGGGAUUAGAUACCCCUGUAGUCC
rnacentral:rRNA from 1 species